rnacentral:rRNA from 1 species
GUCUUUUUGUUAAUAAUUUAAAGUCUAAUCUGCCCACUGAUAUAUUUAUUAAAGGGCUGCAGUAUUUUGACUGUACAAAGGUAGCAUAAUCAUUAGUCUUUUAAUUGGUGACUUGUAUGAAAGAUUGGAUGAAAUAUAAACUGUCUCUUUUAUAAAAAAAAAAUUGAAUUUAAUUUUUUAAUUAAAAAGUUAAAAUUAUUUAAAAAGACGAGAAGACCCUAUAGAGUUUUAUAAUUUAUUUUGUAAAUAUUUUUAUUUUUAUAUUUUUAUAAUUUUAAAUUAUUUUGUUGGGGUGAUAAAAAAAUUUAAUUAACUUUUUUUAAUAGUUUACAUUAAUAAGUGAUUAAAUGAUCCAAUUUUAUUGAUUAAAAGAAAAAAUUACCUUAGGGAUAACAGCGUAAUUUUUUUUUUUAGUUCAAAUAAAAAGAAAAGUUUGCGACCUCGAUGUUGGAUUAAGAUAAAAUUUAAAUGCAGAAGUUUAAAAUUUUGAUCUGUUCGAUCAUUAAAAUCUU